UACAGAGGUCUCAAGCGUUGUUCGGAUUCAUUGGGCGUAAAGGGUGCGUAGGCGGCGCGGUAAGUCGGGUGUGAAAUCUCGGAGCUUAACUCCGAAACUGCAUUUGAUACUGCCGUGCUUGAGGACUGGAGAGGAGACUGGAAUUUACGGUGUAGCGGUGAAAUGCGUAGAUAUCGAUAAGGAAGACCAGUGGCGAAGGCGGGUCUCUGGACAGU
rnacentral:rRNA from 1 species